ACCAAAAAACAACAAGUGCUGGCAAGAAGGUCUCUAUUUUGAUAUCUUCUUUGACCCGUCAAGUUUUCUCCAGACUAUCUUGUAUCAAUCAGUGAAACCAACCAAAGCUAGAAGACACAUCUCUGUCAUGGGCAAUGCUGAUGUGGAUUUCAAUUUCGCUGACAGGAUAA